GGGAGGUGAUGGUGAUUUCUGGACUGUUGUCAUUUUCAUCGAGGACUUCUAUGAUGAUUUUACACCGUGUAGAGAGACCACCGCCAUCCUUCGCUUCCACUUCCAUGAUCUGCUCGCGGUCUAUGCGGUCCUUCACCAACACGGGUUGAAUACAGGACUGUAUCACUGAGCAACACUCCCCUCUCCAAGAUGCAUCGUCAAGUGUUCUCCUACUGUCAUCUAUUACUUGAAUGUUGACAUUGUGUUUAAGACCUAAGUAAUAAAUUAUUUUUCCUAAUAGCUAAAA